UUACGAUGUUACAAGUUACACUGCGUUAUGCUACUUAUCCAGCGUCUGCAGUCUUACUCUUUCUCUCUCUCUCUCCAUUUCCCUCUGCUCUCCCUUUCAUUUCACAAGCCCACGUUAACCUCACAUAGCCCGCUUACAGUGCAUUGCCCUACAUCGUUAUAUCGAUGCGUUGCGUUGCCAAAGAGGCGAGGAACAAUAUUCGUCAAGAUUUUGCUUAUCUCUAACAACAAGAGUUUAUCCGUUCCAACCAUUUCCCUGCGGUAAUCCAAUUGUUAUCCGUAGCGAAGGGUUCAAGUGCCGCUGACAUCAACCGAGCCCAUCUAGGUAACGAGGUAUAUCGGUCAUCGUGUCGGGGUUGCUAAAUAGGAAUGGUUGCCUUGCAAAUCGUUACCUGACCAGAGCUGCAGCGAAAACGUAAACAAAGCGUAUGUACGAAGGAAGAAAUUGGAUGGAAAAAAUGAAUCGACAAAACAAGGCAAAGCGCAACUCCAAGCAAAGUGACACAUGACCGAGCAUGAAAACGCAAUCCAAUGCAAUGCCACACAUACACUCAGAGAUGCAAUGCCACGACGAUGGAAUGGACAAUGCAGACCAACGAUUUUGAGCAGAGAAAUAUUAGCUUGACAUGAUGUGAGAUGGGUGGAGAUGUGGAAUGGAAUGGAAUGAAUGGAUGGACAUGAAAUGAAAUUUACCAAGUAAACAAGAGAGUUAAUAAUAGUAAGAAUGAUUUGUCUCCUAGUCUCAGCAAUAGCAACACUUGACAGUGACUGCAGUCUCAUACUCUUCUAGUCAAGUCUCAUCCUCUUCCACUCUCUCAAUUCCUUUUUAUCAAUGUUUCUUCCUCUUGUUAUGUACACAAACGAUGAUCUCUUCUCUCACCUCAUUGCUGGACUAAUAUUACUCGUGGCCAAGCGAAACACAAGUGGUACUAGAUAACCAAAAAAUGAUAAAGCAUUCAAUCAAUCAAACCACUUACGAAAUUCAUACUCCCGUAAACGAAUGCCGGUCGGACGCAUGGAAAAUCAUCAAUACGUGAGAGAGCUACUUAGUUGUGCACUUUGUAUAUGUCCAAAAAUACUUUUCAUUUCACAUACCUGCUUGUGUAAAGACAGUGAUGAAAUGCGGUGCAAAGUGUCUAUUCUUACAUUGAUGGUAAAGCUAAUUCAAGCAUGCUUGGAAGAAGAAUUGCCUUGCAUUUCUUGAUCAUUUGACCCAGGCGACAACUAUAAAAUAAGAAUACUACCGAAGAUGCAGAUGGGGUGUGUGGGCACAACACCAUCGAACCGAACCGAGACGGCCAGACUGUGAUAACAAAAGAAAUGCAUUAGUUUAGUUGGCUGGUUCAAGUUGGUUGAGUAGAAAAAUCCAUCACUCAAACUGGGAAGUAGGGAUGGCUGGGAGAAUGGAGAAGCGAGACGAGACGAGACAAGACAAGAGGAGAUGAAAUGAAAUUAAUGAAAAGAAAUGAAUAGAAAUGAAAUAGACAUAUGAAUAGUAUAG